GUACCUCCAUUGACAUCCGCCCCCAGGGAAACAACUUCCGAGUGCUACCGCCAAACCCUUCCGGUGCUCGUGCCAAGAGGAAAGGAACAUCCGCGUGCACACACACUAGCUCACCGCACUGCAACGAGGCUGUGUGGUUUGGUUCCUAGGCCAGGUUUCGUUGCGGGAUGCACGAGAAGGGGCAGGGGGCCGAAGGGCCAGUGCCCUCUACAUGGGAAUGAGUAUGCAAGUUCUGGAAAAGCCUCACAAUACAGCAGCCCAUAUUAUUGGCCAACAUCAAAAGGCAGAUGUGCAUCUCUGCAAUCUCGU